AAAAUUAUUACACACUUCCAGACAGACAAUCCCAGUACAGUGUGGAUCAGUACCAGGUUUUCCUCUUAGGACUUGCAGAAAAAUUUAUAAAGGAGAUAUAUGGUUUAGGAGCUAGAAAAAUGGCCUUAGCAGGUUUACCUCCAAUGGGGUGUCUGCCAUUGGAGAGGACAACAAAUUUCUUCAAUGGAAAUGGAGAGCGGUGCAAUGAUGGAUACAACACUGUGGCACUGCAUUUCAAUCAGAAACUGAGUGGUUUAGUGAACAAGUUGAACAAGGAAUUGCCUGGCAUAAGAUUGGUUUUAUCAAAUCCUUAUAAUAUGUUCGUGCAAAUCAUCAAGAAACCUUCAUUAUUUGGUAAGUUUUUCUAACUCAGACCCCAUUAAUUAAUUAUUCAAUGCCAUCGCAACUGCCUCCUAGAAUGUGAUACUACCUAGCAUUAUUUUUUUUGCAUAGUACGGCGUAGGUGAUAGUCAUACCCACUAGGAUCUUGCUGCUCUGUCAGUGUGGGGUUGACCGAACCCCCACCGACUACUCACGUACAAGGCGAGGGGGAGUGGUGCAUUUUUGUGGUAUCAUUAAUGAGUUCCCGAUCCACCUCAUGUGAGUAACGUGUACAAAAUCUGAUAGAAUGAUUCGAUAGAAUAGUUUUAUCCAUUCACAUUAAGCCCCAUUUGGCAUGACCUUUAAAAAGUCAAAAGGGCUUUUGAGAUCCAAAAUUAUUUUUAAAUUCGUUUGGCUAAUUUUAUGAAAGUGUUUCUCCUAAUUAAAAAAGUUUUUCGAGAAAACUGGUCUAACGAGACUUGAGCACUUUUAGAAUAUGAAGCUUUUUUAAAAAUUAGUUUUCAAACAAAAAUAAAAAUAGUUUCCUCCAAAAAGUUUUCUACAUAAAGUGAAAGUAAAAGUCAUGCCAAAGGAACCUUUAGUUUAUUGUCCAAUACAUUAAAAAAUGAAUCUCAACCGCCAUCUAAAUAGGUGCUAAGCAUCAACGUUGCCACAUAACAUUACUCUAGUGCUUUUGUGUAGUAGCAAUCUAGAUAGAGUUAACCCCAUUAAUUAAUUGUUUAGAGCCUCUUCGGAAGUGAUUUUAAGAAUUGAUUUUUUGAUCGUUAGAAGAAAAGUGGGGUCCACUUGUGAUAGAAGAAGUUAAAUAUGAUGACUAAAAUAGUGAAAUAAUGGUCAAAAAAUCAAUUUUUUGAAACAAAAAAUCGCUCCCAUACAAGCCCUCAGUGGAUUGAAAAUUGCAUCCCAAAUAUCAACUAACGAGUGCUAAGAACCAAUGGUGUGGCAUAGCAUUACUUUUUUUAUUAUAUAUGCUUUUUAAGUACUAAUGAUUGUUAUUUUUCCAACAACUUCGAGUAAAACAUUGACCCCAACAAACUGAGAGUAUGUUUUGAUAGGUAAAAUUUAAAAGUGUCUUUUUAUUUCGAAGUAGAUAAGUUAAUGUUUUCUCAAGUAAAAUGAUACUUUCUAUGGAUGUAUCUUUUGCAUUUGUGUCAAAACAAUUUAACUUUCCCUUUUUAUCCCAAAAAGUAUUUAAUUUAAAACUUACUUAUUUACCUUAUGUAAACUUUUUAAGCUUAGUCACACAUGCUCAAAGUCUUGACACACUAAAUUUGGAUUUGGCUUGAUUAAAACACUAAACAUAAUUAUAGAUGAUAUAUAUUUAGCUUAAUAUGGAUUAAUAAUCUAUCUUUUUGGUAAGUUUGUUAUUAAAUGAGUGGUCAUUAUGCUGUAAAAUAAAGUUCUAUAUAGAUGCUAAUAAUUGUUCAUUGUCAACAACUUUGUGAAACGGGAUAAAUAAAUAACAAUAAAUGAUAAUUUAUUCAUUAAUUAUUGAUUAGCAGUGGCGAGCCAGGAUGGAAUUCUGAUUUCUGAUGGUCCAAGAUUGCAUUCAUUAUAGAUUUUUAACCAAAAAAGAAGAUAAAAGUCAAGUGAAUAUUAUGCCACCUUGUAUAUGAAAUCCUUAGAGAUGCACAAGCGAUUAAAGUAUUGGUGGGAGACACCAAUAUUUUAGUGAAUUCUAUUAAAACUUGAGUUAGGUAGAUUUAUAUUUAUACAAAUGUUUAAAAUCCAUUAAAAUCUGAGUCGAGGACAGCCCUAAAUGAAAAAUAAACAUACGUCUAAUGUGUAUAAUAUUUUAUGUAAGUUUCGAAAACCAAAACUUUGUCAACACAUCCAAUAUUUACCUCAUAUUAAUUGUAUUCUUAGUUACUUUUGUACAACUUACGAUAUCAUGGAAGAAAUAACACACAAAAUUUUCUUGACACGGUUGGUCGUGUCUCUUAUCACCUGUAUUACUGUAUUUCUUGUGAUAUAUUUGCUUUCUUUUUAUUAAAAAAUAAAAAUAAAGAAAGAAAACCUGUCAUUCUUAAAGAUUGUGGCAAUUUAUGUAUGACAGGAUUUGACGUAGCAGCAGUGGCAUGUUGUUCGACAGGAAUGUUUGAGAUGGGAUACUUAUGUGAUCAAAUGAAUCCCUUUACAUGUUCAGAUGCAAGUAAGUAUGUAUUUUGGGAUUCUUUCCAUCCAACAGAGAAAACAAAUAAGAUCCUUUCUGAGUAUCUUCUUAAUAGUAGUCUGCGUCAGUUUUUGUAGUUUAAACUAUUUGUUUAUGGAAGGUUUUUUGUACGAUUAGGGUGUGAAUAUUUGUUUGUCUGUUCCUAUUUGUUUUAAGGUUUGUAUUGUAUGGCCGUGCGGGUAUGACGUCUUCUAUUUUCACGAGUACCUUAUAACUUAUUUGUCGUGUUAGACAUUGUUCAAAUGUUGCUCUCCAUUUUAAAUAUAUUGAAGAUUUCUUUAUCGUUGAACAAUGAAUCUCAAGACACAUUUUUGUCCCACGCUUACUAAGAAACUAGUUCGUUUCACGUGCCAUGCACGUGAAGUAUAUUUACUCGAGCAAAUUUUGGGUUUGUAUGGACUAUGAUCUUGUAUGAUUACAUUCCCAAUCUAAUGUUACAUUUGUAUGAGUACUAUAAUUGCUUCUUGUCUUAGACAACCGUUAAGCCUUUAUUUGAACCCUCAUUAUAUAAAAAACUUAUUUUCAUUCACACGUUCUUUCAAUAAAAUAAUAUUUCACGUACACCCAAAAUUUCUACCUUUUAAUCAUGUGUUCUUCAAAAAAUCACUAUAUCGAAACUCUUUCUUUUAAAAAUGGGGUUCAAACAUACCCUAAAUAAUUCAAUCUAUUAUAACAUUAAGAUAAAAUUAUUGGUAGUAUAUUGUAAGGUUAGCAUUGCCAUUACUGUAACUCGGGAGGAACUCAACUUCGAGCUGAGGGACAAGCACACGGCUCUAAUUUGGAGGACUAUCAAGUGCUCCAUAUAUCGAUAAAAUUAUUAGCUCACGGAGAACUUAAAUUCAUCGUUAAACAAGUGCACGAGGACUGCUCCACGUAUCUGACGUGGUGGCUCACACUGUCACGCAGAACUCGAGUCCGAGACAUGGUAUAAGUUCAAUACUGGCAUCUGGACUUCUAUAGUUAUGCCUGUGGCCUUUAAUAUGAUCCACUUCCCAUUCAUAUCAAGCAACAAAUCUCCAAGAUUCCAUCCAACUCUUCUACCAUUUGGGUCCGAUUCCGACUUCUUUCUCCUCCUCAAAUUGACAGGACCCUCUCUUGUAACUAUAGUGCGCUCGAGACAGGUUACUGAAAUAAAUACUGGCAUCGUUUGAUACACAUUAAUUUAAAAAUGAAAAUGAAAAAUAAAGCCGUUACGGGUCUCAUACAAAAGAUUAAAAGUCAAAUAUGAUGACUUGAUAUGAUGUAUAACGGUCAUAUUUUUAAUUUUAAUGGGCAAAUAAUGAGAAACAAACGGGGGCUAAUUAAGUGUAAGACCCACCAAUGGCUAACUGUAACGCUCCAAAUUUUCAUAACACCGGAAUGUUACCAAAAAAUUAUUUUUCUUUACUUUACAUGUGAAAAGAUCAAAAUUAAAUUUUUUUUAUAAGUAAUAACUACGGCAUUCAUAAAUUUAAAAUAAACAUAGCGAUUAUAUCUGGAAAAUAACAAUAAAAAUGUCUUAAAAUCAUCAAAUAAUUAUGAAGGCAGAAAGACUUAAUGGAAAAUUUAUUAUUUGUUACUACGAUUCACUUGGCAGCCCGCAUCAUCGCCCUUCCACAAUUUCAAUCGACCCGAACUAACCUUAAAAAUUUGUAAGAGUGAGUAUUCGAAAACACUCAGUAAGAUACGUGCAGUUCCCAUAUACAUAUAUAUAAUAAUAAAAAUUACAAUUCAUAUCAUCUGAUCUUAUGAAAUAUAUCGAUAACCAAGCGAUACACCUAUCUUAGGUCCUCUUAUAAUCCCGUAGGAUUUCAUAUUUCUUAAAAAAAAUGAAUGUCUACUGACAAUCCAUGCAUUUUUUAUUGAACAUAAACGCAUAAGAAAACAAAAACACUUGUACUUAAAGUAUUUUACCUUUUUAGAAAAAUCUGAAGCACGUUCAAAAUCUUUUUUUUCCUUUUAAAAAUACGUGAUUAAAAUAUUCAAUGUACAGUUAAACCUCGAUAAAGUAAUACCCUCGGGACCAAAAAAAAAAUUCAUUUAGCGAGAUUAUUUAUUUAUCGAUAAAUGAAUAAAUUAUUCAUUUAGAGAGCCUUUCAAUAUAAAAUAUGUACAUUGUAUGUGGUAAGAAAAAUUAAAAGACACUAAUCAAAGUAUUAUUUAAAUCUAGGGAAGCUCAAAAGUUUUAGUGAAACUUAAUAUCUCUAAAAACUAAGUUCACGUACAUAGUAAAUGAAAAUGUUUAGUCUUUACCUAUAAAAGCUAGAUGUUUGGAAGACAUAUUCCAAGCACAUACAAUAUUUUGUUUCCCCUCCAAUGUCUUCUCAUCAUUUGAAAGGAGUAAAAAAAUCAACUUUAACCAAUAAAAUGAGGUGUGCAAUAUGUGAGCAUAAGAAAGAGAAUCCAACUAUUAGCCAAAAAGAUAUGCAAGCAUGGGUGCAACAAAAGUUUGAUUUGACUAUUAGUCAAUCAACAAUAUCGAACACUCUCAAAAUGGCGUUGGAAUAUUUGUUAAAUGAGAUGAAAAAUAGCGAUGUUAAAAGGCACAAAUCGGCAAAAUACCUUGAUUUAGAGAAAGUUUUGUAUGAGUGGUUUCUUCAAAGGCAAGAUAAAGUGAACAUUUCUGGAGAAAUUAUCCAAGGAAAAGCUAAAGAGCUUUUGCAAAAAAGUAUGGUGAAACUAAUUCAGAAUUCAGAUUUUCUAGUGGAUGGUUAGAACGUUUCAAGGCAAGAUAUGGAAUCAAAUCUUAUCGACGUUUUGGUGAAAGUGGUUCAGUUAUCAUGGAGAACAUUGAAAAUGCUUUACCUGGAAUACGAUCAAAACUAGAUCAGUUUCAGUUAAAAGAUAUUUACAAUAUGGAUGAAAGUGGAUUAUUUUAUCGAUGGGAAGCUGAUCAUUCACUUGCUACCAAGCAGCUCGAAGGACGCAAAAAAAAAAAAGGAGAGAAUUGCUGUUGUUGUUUGUUGCAAUGGUGAUGGAUCUGACAAAGUACCAUUUUGGGUUAUUGGUAAGUAUGCAAAUUCUAGAUGUUUUAAAAAUGUGAACAUGAACAAUCUUAAUUGCAAGUAUCGAUCCAACAAAAAAGCCUGGAUGACUGGCUUGCUUUUUCAAGAUUUGUUGGUUGGUUUGAUAAGAGAAUGAAUGACGGGAAGGUUUUCUUAACAGUAGACAAUUGCCUAGCUCAUCCAAAGGUAGUUGAAGGCUUGAGAAAUGUAGAGUUAUUUUUCUUACCUCCCAACACAACGUCUAAGAUUCAACCAUGUGAUGCUGGAAUUAUUUGAGUAUUCAAAGCUCAUUAGCAUCGUCGUUUUUAUUCUAGCAUCUUACAAGGCCUUGAGGUUGAAGCACCAAAUCCUGAAAAAAUUAAUAUUUUGAAUGCUAUUAAUUUUGCUAACAUGACUUGGAAUUUUGAUGUGAAGACAACAACAAUUGCAAAUUGUUUUAGGCAUUGCAAGAUUCGAUCAGAAGAAAACAAUGUUCCUGAACCAGAAGUUGGUGAAUUAGAUGAAGGUAUCCAAGGAUUAAAUGAUGUCAUCUCUAAUUUACACUAUAGAAAUGUGAUGGAUGUUGAACAUCUUUUGAACUAUUUUAGCGAGAAUGAUGCAGUUAUGGAAUCAACUACAGACGAAGAAAUUAUUCAAUUUGUAAUGAACAGUAAUGAUGAUGAGAAUGAUCCUGAACCAGAUGAUAGUAGCGUUGUCCCAAAUGUGUCGUCAAAAGAAGCAUUUCAAGCAAUAGUCACCUUAAGCAACUACUUGCUACAACACGAGCAAAAUAUUCUCGAAGUUGUGUAUGCUCUACAAAAAGUUAAGGAUGGGGUUCAUUUUGGUUUAGGUGGGAAGAAAAAACAAUCAACUAUAGAUGUAUAUUUUCAAAAGGAAUGAUUACUGUACGGGUAUUGUUGAUUGAUUGAAAGAUUUUGGUCUCUCUCUAUAUAUAUAUAUAUAUAUUUUUUUUCCUCAAUGAAAUCCAGUAAUUAUUACUUUAUAUUUUUAUUGGGCCCUUAAGGAUUCAAUUUUUUUUUAUUACUUAAUGCAUUUAGCGAGGUUAUUACUUUAGUCCAUUGGCCCAAGUCGGGAUCGAAAGAAAUUAUUAUAUAAUCGAGGUUAUUACUUUAUCGAACAUUAUUUUAUCGAGAUUUAACUGUAUGCAAACUUUAUUUCCAAUGCUACUCUCUCCCUCCCUUCCUUUCUCUCUCUCUUUCUUUCUUCUCUCUCUUUCUCUGUCUCUUUACUUACUGUAUGUAUGAAUUGGUGUGAGUAAAACUUUUUAUCAUGCCUCUAUAUAUGUGUAGGCUAGAGUAGAUAAAAAAAAUUUUGAUUUGAUAAAGCUAAAUCUUGCAAUCAACGUCUACUCACAAUGUAUUUUAUUAUUAUCUUAUUUAACUACAAGAUAUCCACUAUCUCUAUCCAACUGCAUAUGGGUGUAUGGUGAAUUUUUUUGUAACUAGAAUAAUAGAAGAGUGAAAACAUGGGCCAUCCUAGGAAUCUCUAAAUCAAAACUAAUAAAUAAUGAUAAAAGUCCCACCACACUUUUUUUUUAAGAGAGAAAAACGAAUUGACUUAUAAUCUAUAUAAAAUUAUAUUUAUACUAUUUUCUUCAAUUGGAUCUAACUUAAUAUGUUCUUAUCCAAAAUAAUUUUUUCUCAAGUUAAAGACUUCAAGUUAAUUACGAUAUAUUCAACGAGUACAAUAUUGAUAUACCUAUAAUUGUUCUAUCAAAAUCUAAUUUAUUUGACCCAGAUAAAAUAAGACUUUAUAUAAUAUACAAAAUAAAUAAAUUUUUAUAUAUAACAUUUUUUGGGUUGCUACACUAACAAUGAUACGAUAAGUUUGAACAUUGUCUGUAUAAUAUGAGAAAGUUAAUCAUUUUGAUUUACGUGCAUAAUAGGUUUAUCUAAUGAUUUACAUGCAGAAGUGUCAAAAGGAUAGUUGUGAAUUUUUAUUUAUUUAUUAUUAAUUUUUUUUUAAAUUAAUUUGAUCCAAUCAUAUCUUACCAUAUCAUAUUUAUAUGAACCAUUAUAUAAACUCUUAUGUACAUGUAGUACAAUAUUUAUGUGAAUAAUAAGGCUACUAACAAUUAUCCAAUGAAGUUGAAAUAAAUUUUGUUCAUUGGAGAUGGAAAAUACAUACAAUGGUAAAGUCAUUAUCAUAUAGACCGAUGAUCAUUGCUGUGAACAUAAAUUGCCCAAAUAAAAUAUCUGAAAUAAUCGAGAACCACCUGCCCCUCUUUAACAAAUAUAAAGAAAAUAAGCAAGAUUAAACAUCUUUUUAGGCAAGUGUAUACGUAGGAAGUGGCCUAAGAGUGAACCUUACUCUAUUUCUUCGGUUAAAAAUGACUGCCUAUGCUUCCAUGGCAGCUUAAUACACUGAACCAGAUAAAAGAUUAAAUUGUAUUAAAGAAGAAAAACACAGCAAAUUUAGUCAUAGUUAGUCCUACCCCAACAAACAUGUCAUCUAGGUUUAACUCUGGUCUUCACGGAGUUCCAAGUGAUUUAUCAACCACCAACAUAAAAAGGUAAGAGGGAAAACAAAAAUUAAGUUCCAACAUAAUAUAUUUUGACAAAUUAAUUAAGCUACUUAUUACUUCAACUACAAAGUUUGGAGGAAACCAGCAUACAAAAAGAAAAACUGCAAUCCCCCGUGCGAUUUCUCUGGAAAGUGAAUAAUCUAUAGACGCAUCAGAAAGAUAUGGUACACGUGCCAUCAAAUAAUGGGGCAUUAAUUAAUGAAAAACAGGAAAAUGAAAUUAAAGUGCUACACUUAUCCAGCAACAUACUUCUACACCCUUACAGCAUCCGAACAAUAUAGUUAGUCGUUCCAGACGAGCAGUCUCCGAUUUAUAACUUCAGUAUGCAUGUGGUGUUGCAGACUGUAGCAGUAUCUGAUCUUUGUAAACUUCAGUAUGGAGCUUAUCCGGAAAAAUAUGAACAGAAAAUUUUGAGGAAACGGUGCCUCUUUCACCACCAGAGUUCGGCCUAUAAACAAAGCAGUUUAUGACUAUAAACUAUCUUCUUGUGAAAAGAGUACGUCAAAAUGUCACUAUUAAUGUACAACUGGCUCAUCCAGAAUUCCCAGCAACCUCUGCGGCACGCUGCCUCAUCAUUUCCAUCACAGCUGCCCUUCUUCGGGAAUCAGACUGCUGUUGCAGCCUUCUAAUGUGCUCAGUCAAAUCUCUGCAUCAAAACAUUGUAAAUAAAUUCAUAUGGUUUCUAGCACAAAACUAGGUUCAUAGUGAUGACACAGAGGUAUGGGGGAAAUUUCAAAGUCCCAAGGAUAAAAAUGAGAUAGGUGAACAAACCUGCAGCGCGGUACAGUGCAUUACAUAUACGCAUUAGCCCCAGUUUGGCCCUCAUUUUGGGAUAUGAAAAUGGAUGAAAUAGUAAUUUUUUGAAAAAUGAAUUGUUGAAAAAGAAAAAAAGGUUUUUUAUUUAUAUAUAAUAUUAUUUUAUGGAAUAUUAUGUGGUUAAAAAUCGAAGAGAAAAAAAUGAAAUGAAAUGGAAUUGAAAUUAAUGGGGGAGUCGGUAGAGCAUAUUUUAACUUCUUUGCUAAUUUCUUAAUGCCUCUCCCUCGAAUCUAAGUAUUUCAUUUUAUUUUUUGACAAAUAAAUCCAGUAAAGUAAACAAGCCAAAAAUAUUUAUUUAUUUUGUACUUACCCAAGUCACUGUCUUCUUGCAACUGCCAGGGAGAGUAAUAAUAAUUGUGAAAAAGACAGUCCUCUUGUGUGGCCGUAGAUAUUGAAAACUUCACCUGAAAGGGAGGCACUCAUUUAAUGACCUUGAAUUUAAUUUAGGAUCUUUAUAUUUGUGUACUCAUGAAUUUCUUCAUUUCUAUAGUUUGUAAAAAUUUAUAUAACCUUGCUACAUGUAUAUUAUGACGUAGUUGAAAUUACACUUUAAUUUAAGUUUCAAACAAUUUUUUCAUUCAAUUGACACUUGACAACAAUGUAAAUAUCAACCAAAGUGUCAAAAAUCAAUAUAAAAAUAGCAAAGUUCAAAUUUAUAUGGCCUUUCCCAACUACAUGCAUAUUAUAAGUUCCCCUAACCGACAACGAAAUGUUCGUACAUUAAUUGCCAAUUAAAGAACAUCAACUCAGAAAUAAAGAAUUGUCUUGUCAGUAUUGAAUUGAGCUUCUUCAAACGUAAACUCCAUAUUUUUUCAAGUUCAACAUUUAUGAUAGUAAGUAAUGUACAACGUUUUUCAAAUUUUAGUGACCAAAAUUCGACAUUUUCAACUUCAGUGAGCAAUCGAAAAUAUGAAUCUAAGUUCAGUGAUCAAAACUCGACAUUUUCAACUUCAGUGACCAAUCAAAGACAUGAAUCUAAGUUUAGUGACCAUUGUAACAAUUAAUUCAAAAAAUGAUUUCUUAUUUCUCCAAAGUUUGAUUGAUGAUUUCUGUUAAUUGAGAACAUAAUGAUGGAGAUUUAUGUUGUUGUUUUUAAAGGUUUAGGGACUCAGAAGUUCAGUCGUGCAAAAACUAAUGACUCAAGUCUAACUUUCGCGUUAUUUAAGGCAAGCGGCCAAGUCCACUGCAACAUGUACAAUAGAAUCAAGAACUUGCCUCGCCGACCCACAAACUAAACUGACGCCAAAUGAAUGGCUACUAUCAACUCUCAUUAAUUACUAUCAUAAAAGCUUUACUUGACUAUCCAACAUACAAAAUUAAAGUUUGAAUCUGAUUUCUUUGCCAUUAAAUGAUCCCCAACAAACUCCUUCCCCUCCACUUUGUUAGUUUCUCAUUUCUACUUAUUUCCAGUUCAGUAUAAAAGCUCGCUUAAUUUGUUUAUUGAGACAAAAAACAAAGACAAACAGAUGGAAUGUGUGUACUUACCAUGGUUGUUCUUGGCCCAGUUUUUGAUGUUAAUCAUCACUGGUGCAGCAAAAGUUCCAGCCAUUAUAGUGUUUGGAGAUUCAUCUGUUGAUGCUGGGAAUAAUAAUCAGAUUUCGACUAUGUUGAAGAGCAAUUUUAGGCCAUAUGGUCGAGAUUUCUUUGGUGGGAAAGCCACAGGGAGAUUCUCAAAUGGCCGUAUUCCUCCAGAUUUCAUUUCUGAAGGAUUUGGUCUUAGGCCAUUUGUGCCUGCUUAUUUAGAUCCCAUGUAUAAGAUUUCAGAUUUUGCUGCAGGCGUUUGCUUUGCUUCUGCUGGUACUGGUUUUGAUAACUCAACCUCUGCAGUACUUGUAAGUCUCCAGUUUUCAUUUCAGUUGCUACUUGCUUUAGUACAAUUUUUCUUUUCCUGCGUAUAGCCGAUCUCAGGCCUGAGCUUAAGACUCUCGUAACACCUCGUUUACCAACUGCCCGGAUACGGAAACAUAGACGGAAAUAAAUCGAGGUAUUGCAUGGUCGAUCUCAAAUUUAUUACUGUUUGAAUGCAGAAUGUUUUACCAGUUUGGAAGGAAGUGGAGUACUACAAGGAUUAUCAGAAAAAGCUCAAAGCCUAUGUGGGUGAAGAAAAGGCAAAGUUCAUAAUCAGUGAGGCCUUGUAUUUGAUUAGCAUGGGAACAAAUGACUUCCUAGAAAACUAUUACACACUUCCAGACAGACAAUCCCAGUACAGUGUGGAUCAGUACCAGGUUUUCCUCUUAGGACUCGCAGAAAAAUUUAUAAAGGAGAUAUAUGGUUUAGGAGCUAGAAAAAUGGCCUUAGCAGGUUUACCUCCAAUGGGGUGUCUGCCAUUGGAGAGGACAACAAAUUUCUUCAAUGGAAAUGGAGAGCGGUGCAAUGAUGGAUACAACACUGUGGCACUGCAUUUCAAUCAGAAACUGAGUGGUUUAGUGAACAAGUUGAACAAGGAAUUGCCUGG
rnacentral:lncRNA from 1 species